GGAUACCUGGUUGCUGCCAGUGACCCAGCUGGCUGGACCCUGGGAUACAGCCCAGCAGCCCAGGUCUGCCCUGAGGCUGGGGAGUGGCAAAUGGUGACCCCGUGGUGCAGUUGCAGAUCAUCCCCCAGAGAUGAUUAGAGGUGAGAUGAAUUCUGUGUGGCCAAAGAAGUACUCCUUGGAGGUGGUUUGGGGGUAGGAAGUUGGCCAGGACACUCAAAGAGUAGAGUAUAGAAGGAAGAAGGGCCUAUUUCAGGUAGGUAGCUGCUGCAGUCCACACUGGGUUUGGGUGAAGGAUGUUUGGGAACUCAGGGCUGGUAUUGGAUGGGAUUUGGGGGGAGUGAGGGGUCAAGUUUGGAUGAAGGAGGAUGGAGGCCUUACACUGAACAGAGACAGGGAAGGUAGGGUCAGCGGAAAAGGUAGCACAUGGUCUGAGGUUACAGGGGCAUGGGAGUCCAGAGUAGCACCCCAGAACGAGGGUGGGUGAGUUGAGCAGGGUGGAGGGGUAGAAGUAACAGAGCCAUGGUCCACUUUGGGUGUCACAGACACAUAUAGGGUGACGUUGGUCAGGGGUAGCUGGGGUAGGAGGUGUGGAUCAUGGAGGAACAAGUGUAAGUGUAAGUGUAGGGGAUCAGUGCCAGGGAGCCUUGGAGACUGUAACUCAGAAGGGAAGGGGUGUUCCUGAAGAGUGUAGGAGUCUCUGGGUCAGAUCUGCAUCCCUUGCAGGAGUGAGAGGGAACCUUGUCCAGAUCUGAGAAACCUGCAGGUUGGGGGAUAGCACAGGCAGCAGUCUGAUGCUCUUUUGAGGCACUUGGCUGGGGAUGUCAGUGGGAGCUGGCAGGGCUAAGGGCAUAUCGAGGAGGAGGAAUGCCAAGGAAGUGGCUUUUCUCCUGGGAGACAUAGUAGAAGUGGGCUGGAGAAGGCAGGAGGGAUAAGGAGGGAGGAGAGUUUGCUAAGGGACCAAUAUGCCCUCUAGGCAUCUCCAGCUCCAGGGAGGUCACUGGCCAAGCUGCCCUUAGGCGCUGGCUAUCAGAAGGAUAAAAGGAUGGAGGCUGGUGCUUCAGGGAAUGGGAGUCAGCAGGACAGGU
rnacentral:lncRNA from 1 species